rnacentral:tRNA from 1 species
GCGGUUGUGGCGGAAUAGGCAUACGCGCACGUUUGAGGGGCGUGUGGGGAGACCCGUGCGAGUUCAAGUCUCGCCAACCGCAUCA